UCCUGCUCCCUCCUUGGCGUAGCUGCAGCUUGGGCCUUUGGUCUGACCCAGCCCCACUAUGGCUUCAGCUUUGAAAGAGCUACAGAAAGAUCUAGAAGAAGCAAAGGUGUUGCUGGAAAAAGCCACUAGGAAAAGAGUAUGUGAUGCCCUUACAGCUGAAAAAUCCAAGACUGAAACAGAAAUCAAGAACAAGAUGCAACAGAAAUCACAGAGGAAAGCAGAACCUCUUGACAACAAAAAGCAAGCUGCUGUGGUUGCUCCCAUUACAAUGGGAUAUGCAAUGAAAAUCAGUAAUUAUGGAUGGGAUCAGUCAGAUAAGUUUGUGAAAAUCUACAUUACCUUACCUGGUGUUCAUCAAGUUCCCACUGAAAAUGUGCAGGUGCAUUUCACAGAGAGGUCAUUUGAUCUUUUGGUUAAGAAUCUAAAUGGGAAGAGUUACUCCAUGAUUGUGAACAAUCUCUUGAAACCGAGCUCUGUGGAAGGCAGUUCAAAAAGUUAAGACUGAUACAGUUCUUAUCUCAUGCAGAAAGAAAACAGAAAAUACACGAUGGGACUACUUAAGUCAGGUUGAAAAAGAAUGCAAAGAAAGAGAAAAGCCCUCCUAUGACACUGAAACAGAUCCUAGUGAGGGACUGAUGAAUGUCCUAAAGAAAAUUUAUGAAGAUGGGGAUGAUGAUAUGAAGCGAACCAUUAAUAAAGCUUGGGUGGAAUCAAGAGAGAAGCAAGCCAAAGGAGACACAGAAUUUUGAGACUUCAAAGUCUUUUUGGGAACUGUGACGUGGAUAUAUUGAUGUUUCCAAUAAGGGAAUGUUAAUGAGGUGCAUAUAUAAAUUUGACAGGUCACUAUUUACACAACCUCCUUCUAAAUAAGAGCAAUGAAACCUCCAUUUCCUACUGGAGGAUUUAUUUAAAUAAAAUAUGCUUAUUAAACAUUUCCUGAAAAGAUGGUUUCAUUAGUAUACUGGUCAUUUUCUUGAAGAAAGGGUUAUAUUGCAUUAUCAUGUGAAAUGUAAAAAGCAAGUCCUGCCUAAUGAAAAUGCUACAUU